CUCUCAAACUUUGCUCUCGGGUUUUCAUUGAUUUUGUGCUCAAGUUCAAGUGCAAGAAAUCUUUCUCUCUUAUUUCUUUGCUACAAGAUUGCCCACACUUUUGGAGAAGCAACUUUCAGUGCAGAGCAAUUAGCAGAAGAUGUGGAGAAAAGCUUGGGAAAAAGAUUUGAUCCAGACUUGGAUAGUUUGACUCAUACAUAAGGAACACAACAGAAAGACGAGGUUAUAAAACCAAGAGGUAUCGAGGUCAAGGAAAAGGAAGAUCGUGGAUAUAAGAGACCAAUUGGUGGUUUUGAGAAGGCAACACGGCAGCGAAAAAAGAUCAAGAAUGACCUAAAGGCAUCUGAUUCAGCAUUGAAAGUAAAUACUAGUUCUGCAUCAGGUUUCGAGAAGACAACACGAAAGAGGAAAAAACCAUGAAUGACCCAAAGACAUCUAAUUUUCCAAUAGAAGCGAUAGCACAUUCACAUCCAUAUAACACUAUCCUAGUAUAAGAUUUCUACGGUAUUUACCAUUGCAAAGACUUAUAUGUUGUGCUGAUAUUAAUAUUCCUCUUUUGUUGGUAUGCAUGUCCAUUUAGAGACUAGUACACACCAACAUCACAUACAAAUACCAAGCUACUAUCUGGUUGAAAAUGCUUUCAUGCCUCCAUACUUUGGUCCUUUCUUUGGGACUCCUGACCAUGGUCAAGGGACACAACCAGGAAAUGCUACUCAGUCAUUUAAUGCAAAUCCCAACAGUAUGUUCUUUGGGACUCAUGAUCAAUGAAUCCUAUGUAUGCAACAAUUUAUUUUACAAAGGAACUGGA